CGGACGGGUGAGUAACGCGUGGGUAACCUGCCUUAUACAGGGGGAUAACAGUCAGAAAUGGCUGCUAAUACCGCAUAAGCGCACAGAGCUGCAUGGCUCAGUGUGAAAAACUACCGGUGGUAUAAGAUGGACCCGCGUUGGAUUAGCUAGUUGGUGGGGUAACGGCCCACCAAGGCGACGAUCCAUAGCCGGCCUGAGAGGGUGAACGGCCACAUUGGGACUGAGACACGGCCCAGACUCCUACGGGAGGCAGCAUG
rnacentral:rRNA from 1 species